rnacentral:rRNA from 1 species
GACGAACGCUGGCGGCGUGCUUAACACAUGCAAGUCGAACGGAAAGGCCCUGCUUGCGGGGUACUCGAGUGGCGAACGGGUGAGUAACACGUGGGUGUUCUGCCCUGCACUUCGGGAUAAGCCUUGGAAACUGGGUCUAAUACCGGAUAGGAGACAUUUUGAUUGUGAUGGUUGGAAAGUUUUUUCGGUGUAGGAUGAGAUCGCGGCCUAUCAGCUUGUUGGUGGGGUAAGGGCCUACCAAGGCAGCCACGGGGAGGCGGCCCGGGAGGGGGGACGGCCACAAUGGGGACGGGAAUAGGCCCAGAACUCCACGGGGGGCCGGCGGGGGGAAAAUUGGAACAUGGGGGCAAGCCUGAUGGAGCGACGGCGCGGGGGGGAUGACGGGCUUCGGGUUGGAAAAUCGCUUCGGUAGGGACGAAGCCUUUUGUGACGGUACUUAGAGAAGAAGCACCGGCUAACUACGUG